UUAGAAGCUACUAUUAGGAGUAUGGGGUUCCUUGGUUGAAGCUCUGAGUAGUCACAGAAGUUCUUCUUCUUCUUCCCCUCCAGGCAAAAAUCCAGCCUAUGUGAAGGUGAAGUGAGGGUGACAGAGAACCCUCAGGCAGGAAGACUGGGGAAAGAGAUUCAGUAGAAAUAGGGGGCGAUUAUGCUGGAAGCUCUGAAGUGAAGUAGUCUUUCAUGGCAGCUGGAUGAUGUGAUUAUUGCCUGGGCUAUGAAGGUGAUUAUGCUGGGUCUGGCAAGACUUUUGGAAGUUUGUUUUUUUAAGAAGAUGAUAUUUUAAUUGCAGUUUGUUAAA